GGGGAAUAUUGCACAAUGGAGGAAACUCUGAUGCAGCGAUGCCGCGUGAGGGAAGAAGGUUUUAGGAUUGUAAACCUCUGUCUUCAGGGACGAAAAAAGGACGGUACCUGAGGAGGAAGCUCCGGCUAACUACGUGCCAGCAGCCGCGGUAAUACGUAGGGAGCGAGCGUUGUCCGGAAUUACUGGGUGUAAAGGGAGCGUAGGCGGGAUCGCAAGUCAGAUGUGAAAACUAUGGGCUUAACCCAUAAACUGCAUUUGAAACUGUGGUUCUUGAGUGAAGUAGAGGUAAGCGGAAUUCCUAGUGUAGCGGUGAAAUGCGUAGAUAUUAGGAGGAACAUCAGUGGCGAAGGCGGCUUACUGGGCUUUAACUGACGCUGAGGCUCGAAAGCGUGGGGAGCAAACAGGAUUAGAUACCCUGGUAGUCCACGCCGUAAACGAUGAUUACUAGGUGUGGGGGGACUGACCCCUUCCGUGCCGCAGCAAACGCAAUAAGUAAUCCACCUGGGGAGUACGACCGCAAGGUUGAAACUCAAAGGAAUUGACGGGGGCCCGCACAAGCAGUGGAGUAUGUGGAUUAAUUCGAAGCAACGCGAAGAACCUUACCAGGUCUUGACAUCGUAUGCAUAGCUCAGAGAUGAGUGAAAUCUCUUCGGAGACAUAUAGACAGGUGGUGCAUGGUUGUCGUCAGCUCGUGUCGUGAGAUGUUGGGUUAAGUCCCGCAACGAGCGCAACCCUUACUGUUAGUUGCUACGCAAGAGCACUCUAGCGGGACUGCCGUUGACAAAACGGAGGAAGGUGGGGAUGACGUCAAAUCAUCAUGCCCCUUAUGACCUGGGCCUCACACGUACUACAAUGGCUGUAAACAGAGGGAAGCAAAGCCGCGAGGUAGAGCGAACCCCUAAAAGCAGUCUUAGUUCGGAUUGUAGGCUGCAACCCGCCUACAUGAAGUCGGAAUUGCUAGUAAUCGCAGAUCAGCAUGCUGCGGUGAAUACGUUCCCG
rnacentral:rRNA from 1 species